GUGGAUUAUACCAAGCAAAUUCCUUCUUUUUAAUUUGAAUACAAAUAAAAAUGUUAGUCAAAAUAAAAACCAAAACUUUUUUCUACCAUCAAAUAAAAAAAUAAAAAUAAAGAAUCGAAGUCAAGAAGCAAAAGAACCCCCAAGUCAAAGAGAGCGUGGAUCAGAUAUAGAAAACAAAGGAAAUCUGAGCCCUGUUUUUUCAAAACAUCAAACCGAUCUUGAAAAAGAUUACGUGGAAUCAGACACAAAAAAGGGUAAAAAUAAAAAACAAUACAAAAGCAACACGGAAGCAGAACUAGAUUUGUUCUUGAAACGUUAUUUGCUUUUUCAAUUGAGAUGGAACGGUGCUUUGAAUCAAAGAAUGUUCGAAAAUAUCAAGGUAUAUUGUCUCCUGCUUCGACUGAUAAAUCCAACCAAAAUUACUAUAUCGUCAAUUCAAAGGAGAGAAAUGAGUUUGGAUAUAAUGCUGAUUCAGGCAAAUUUACCUCUUACAGACUUGAUGAAGAAGGGGGUAUUGAUUAUCGAACCUAUUCGGUUGUCUGUAAAAGAUAAUGGACAAUUUAUUAUGUAUCAAACCAUAGGUAUUUCAUUGAUUCAUAAAAGUAAACACCAAACUAAUCAAAGAUACCGAGAACAAAGAUAUGUUGAUAAAAAGAAUUUUGACGAAUUCAUUCUGCAACCUCAAACUCAAAGAAUAAAUACAGAAAAAACUCAUUUUGGUUUGCUUGUUCCUGAAAAUAUUUUAUGGUCUAGACGUCGUAGAGAGUUGAGAAUUCGAAGUUUUUUUAAUUCUUGGAAUUGGAAUGUCGUCGAUAGAAAUUCAGUAUUUUGCAACGAAACCAAUGUAAAAAACUGGAGUCAAUUUUUGGGUGAACGGA
rnacentral:misc_RNA from 1 species